rnacentral:rRNA from 1 species
UACGGGGGGGGCAAGCGUUGUUCGGAAUUACUGGGCGUAAAGGGCUCGUAGGCGGCCAAUUAAGUCAGACGUGAAAUCCCUCGGCUUAACCGGGGAACUGCGUCUGAUACUGGAUGGCUUGAAUCCGGGAGAGGGAUGCGGAAUUCCAGGUGUAGCGGUGAAAUGCGUAGAUAUCUGGAGGAACACCGGUGGCGAAGGCGGCAUCCUGGACCGGCAUUGACGCUGAUGCGCGACAGCGUGGGGAGCAAACAGG